CGGUGAAUACGUUCCCGGGUCUUGUACACACCGCCCGUCACACCAUGGGAGCCGGGAAUGCCCGAAGUCAGCGGCCCAACCGAAGGAGGGAGCUGCCGAAGGCAGGCCUGGUGACUGGGGUGAAGUCGUAACAAGGUACC
rnacentral:rRNA from 1 species